rnacentral:rRNA from 1 species
UACGUAGGGGGCAAGCGUUGUCCGGAUUUAUUGGGCGUAAAGAGCGUGUAGGCGGCUAGGUAGGUCCGUUGUGAAAACUCGAGGCUCAACCUCGAGACGUCGAUGGAAACCAUCUAGCUAGAGUCCGGAAGAGGAGAGUGGAAUUCCUGGUGUAGCGGUGAAAUGCGCAGAUAUCAGGAAGAACACCCGUGGCGAAGGCGCUCUACUGGGCCGUAACUGACACUGAGGGACGAAAGCUAGGGGAGCGAAAGGG